UCCUCUUUGGCCAAGGGGUAAGGCAUUCCACUCGUAAUGCGAUGGAAAGAUCACCCGUUCGAUUCGGGUAAGAGGAA